GUAUUGUGUAAUAUUUUGAAUAUUUAUAUUGCAGAAUCGUUAAAUUAUGGAAGACUUUAGUGAAAAGAACAUUAAAACUAAACUUCAAUUCUUUUAGAAUGACAGUUUUAUAUUUAGGGAAAUUUGCAAGAAUAACUAACAAAAACUUAUAAAUUAAGAAAGUAACACAAGGCAAAAAUAUCAGCUAUACUCUCUAUAUUAUAUAUAAUAAUGGCAUAUUUACUUCUUUCUCUCCACCUCAUUCUAAGUCCCUCUUUCUCUUCUCUCUUUUUCAUUUCUUUUUCUUUCUUCUCUCAAUCUCUUCUCUUUUUCUUUUUUUUUGUAUCACAUAACAAACAAACGAAAAUGACAAACUACAAAGUUGUAUCUUAGGGUAUAGUUUUUCUAUACAUCCAAAAUAGUAUAAUACAACAUUUUAUUUCUAUCCAAAAUAGUACAUGUUUUUACUUACAAACACUAUUUACUAUUUUAUAAAUUCAGAUCCGAUUUUAAGAAUUCAAACUAUUUUGUAUGUA
rnacentral:sRNA from 1 species